CAGUCGCCGCGGUAAUGCGUAGGUGGCAAGCGUUGUCCGGAAUUAUUGGGCGUAAAGCGCGCGCAGGUGGUUUAAUAAGUCUGAUGUGAAAGCCCACAGCUCAACCGUGGAGGGUCAUUGGAAACUGUUAAACUUGAGUGCAGGAGAGAAAAGUGGAAUUCCUAGUGUAGCGGUGAAAUGCGUAGAGAUUAGGAGGAACACCUGUGGCGAAGGCGGCUUUUUGGCCUGUAACUGACACUGAGGCGCGAAAGCGUGGGGAGCAAACAGGAUUAGAUACCCCUGUAGUCCCUGUCUCUUAUAC
rnacentral:rRNA from 1 species